rnacentral:rRNA from 1 species
UACGGAGGGUGCAAACGUUGCUCGGAAUCAUUGGGCGUAAAGCGCGUGUAGGCGGCUCGCUAAGUCGAGUGUGAAAGCCCUGGGCUCAACCCAGGAAGUGCGCUCGAAACUGGCGGGCUAGAGUACGGGAGAGGGUAGCGGAAUUCCCGGUGUAGAGGUGAAAUUCGUAGAUAUCGGGAGGAACACCAGUGGCGAAGGCGGCUACCUGGACCGAUACUGACGCUGAGACGCGAAAGCGUGGGUAGCAAACAGG